rnacentral:rRNA from 1 species
UUUCGAAUCGUUCACAAUGGGGGAAACCCUGAUGGCGCGACGCCGCGUGGGGGAUGAAGGUCUUCGGAUCGUAAACCCCUGUCACCAGAGACUAAACGGCAGGUUCAUAGCCUGCCCUGAAUUAACCUGGAGAGGAAGCAGUGGCUAACUCCGUGCCAGCAGCCGCGGUAAUACGGAGACUGCGAGCGUUACUCGGAUUCACUGGGCGUAAAGGGUACGUAGGCGGGCAGGUAUGUCAGGUGUGAAAUCCCGGGGCUUAACUCCGGAACUGCGCUUGAAACUACUUGCCUAGAGUAUUGGAGGGGAAAGCGGAAUUCCAGGUGUAGCGGUGAAAUGCGUAGAUAUCUGGAGGAACACCAAAGGCGAAGGCAGCUUUCUGGACAAUUACUGACGCUGAGGUACGAAAGCGUGGGGAGCGAAAGGGAUUAGAUACCCCCGUAGUCC